UCGUUUGGUAGAGGGCAGUCAAUUCGCUGAGGUCGAAUGCAGAAGCUUUGCGUUGUAAGCUAAUUGUUUCGACUUGUAACAAGCUUGUACGAAUUCAGUAAGCUACGUAUAUAAAGUGGGAAAUAUGCCACAAGGCAAAUUAAAAGUUAAAACCAAAUUGCCAGCUAAAACGAAACCAAAGAAGAAAGCAAAGGGCCCAGCAGUUUCUAAGAGGGGAAAUCGCCCUGUGGCCCCCAAGAAGCAGAAACAUCAGGAAGCACAAAAGCUUAAGAAGAUCAUAACGAAAGCCGUAAAUGAAGCGAUGGAAGAUGAUUUGAGGGCUAGAGCCCUAGAUGGAAAGAAAUCUCUUCUGUCAAAGAAAUCAACUCCUGGUAGAUCCAAAGGCAACAAAAAGAAAACAUGAAUGUCUGGAAUUUUUUGGUGAAUUUUUCAUCAAGGUCACCAUUUUCACCACCCAUCAAGUCUUUGUUGUAAUGUGCCUUACCUGUUUGAAAUGUGUUGGAUUAUAUUCUGUGACCUAAGAUGUAGGAUUUAGACCUGUAGCACUAUUCACAACUAUUGUUUCUUGUGUAGAAGAUAUACAUACAUUUUUGGGUCCUGGUAUUUGUUUAUAUUUGAGUUCAAUAACAUUAUUGCAUAAGUACAAUGUGUGUUCUCUACUUGGUGUGCGAUGUAUGCAGAAAUGCUAAAAGUUUGUCAUAGUACAAAAUGAUUGUGAGUAGGGAUUUUCUCAGCAUAUGUAAAAACAAGAAUUUAGUUCUCUGUGAGUUAACUUUCAUGUAAUGUAAUGUUUGACACAAAGGGCAGGGUAUAAAGGAAAUAUAAAAUAUUUUUAUGUUGAAGUCAUUGAUGAUUUUAUGCAUUUUCAUUAAAGUACAUCCUGAACGCAUGUAAAAUAUUAAAAGGGAAAUAAUUUUAUUUCAGUUUUGAGUACUUUUUAGAAACACGAAGAAAAAUGAUAACUUACCAGAGCUCCAGAAAUAUAUUUGUCCUCUUAAAAGCUGACAGCGUGACAGAUCUUUAACAAGUACAUUUAGUCUUGGCCUAAAUGUAUGGGCAAGUUGAGUUUAAGUGCCUUGUAGGUUUAAUUAAUAAUCUUGGAGGUCUGUCUGUGACCUUGUGGUCCAGGGGUGCAUGCUGUACUCUGCCAGAGAUACUGUUGACUUUCAGUAGGACCAUAGUCAGAGAUUUAUAUAUGUAGAGGACUAGUAGGUGCCACCGUGGUUUGGAGCCAGUCAUCUUGGACAUGCAUUUCUUCAUCCUCUCUGGGCUGGCAGGUCUAUCAAAUUGCCAUGAUACUUCCUCUAAGAAGUUGGAGAUCAUUUUUAUAUUUGUGCAUCUUCAUGCAUUUUAGAAAUUGUCACAGGAUGGAUUCUUUUACAAGUGAAAAUAAGGGACAGGAGAUUUUUUUUCUAGAUUUAGACAUUUUUACAUGACAAAAUUUCUUACUCGUAAAACGUGGAACUGUAUACACGUACACUUUCCAACAAAUAUUAUAGUAGUUCACAAGUUAAAUACAGUAUUACUUGCCAAGUUUUAUUAUAAUGUACAAAAUUAUAUGUGAAGAUAUACAGCAUAUAAUCAUUUUUUCACUUGUCAAACGAAGCAGAAGUGUAUUUGUUGAGCCCUGAAAGUAUGUUUUGAGUUCUAAACCAUAACAAAAGAUAUAUUCACUUACAUGCUUCUUACUGUAAAAUUUUAAUGUUUGUUUAUUUCUUUUUGUUAUUAGUAUGCACCCUUUGUUGCUGUUUAAUAAAUAUAAUACAGUGGAA